GAUGUGCUAGCGGGAGAGACUGCCGUCAGGGCAGCGCCGAAGGAGCAACCGCCCCGGAAACUCUCAGGCAAAAGGACCGCUACCACCGC
rnacentral:ncRNA from 2 species